UCGUUAAAGACGAUAACGUUGAUAGGCUACAGGUGUAAAGUCAGUGAUGGCAAAGCCGAGUAGUACUAAUUACCUGUAAGCUUUUAAUA
rnacentral:rRNA from 1 species